rnacentral:lncRNA from 10 species
UAUGUUUUAUUGUAGAGGGUGUAUUUUUUGUCAGAAAAUUAUAAGACUAGAGGGAAAGACUAGUAACCAAAUAUAAUUUUUCAAAAGCAUAAAUUUUAUUCUCUAACAAGGCACAUCAGAAAAUACCAUGAAAAUUUCCUCAUAUUUUAUAAAAUUUAUGAAUAUAUAAAAUACUGAUGAGCUAAAUGGAUCUAUUUUGUAUUGAUGAACAUGAUUUUAUGUAUUAUCAUAAUAAUAAAAAUUAGAUGAAUUUAAAAGUCAAUUGCUUGGAGGUUAGCAAAAUAUUGAAAUGACUGAAGUUGAAGAUUUAUUACCACUUAACAUACACUUAUUUAAUACCAAAUAUUUCACUGUGGAGGAAUAGCUGAGAAACCAAAUGUAUUGACUAGAGUUUAUAUGAAUGUUUCAAUAUAGCUGCUCUUACUUGAUUAUGUAUUUUAAAAUUUUGUUAUUAUUUUUUAUUUAUAAAAUAGAGACAGGGUCUCAUGUUGCCCAUGCUGGUCUCGAACUCCCUGGCUCAAACGAUCCUCCCGCCUCUGCCUUCCAAAGUGCUGAGAUUACAGGAGUGAGCCACUGUGCCUGGCCAAUUAUAUAUUUUUAAUGCCUAGUAAAAAUCCAUUAUAAGGUACAUUUUUGGCAUUACCAAUUAACUUGGGUGGGAAAAUGUGUGAUCCACAGCAGGGCAAGAUUUCUAUUUUAAAAUAAAAGCAGAUACAGUCAAAUGAACCUUACUGGAACGAAUAGGAAUGAUAUUAUUAUGAUAUUCUGCAUCCACAUGGCAAGAGAUGACACCAUUUUCUGAAUUUACUUCAGAUAAAUAUCCCGCAGUGGAAUCAGCCUUCCCAGGGACCUCCCUGGACUCUGAGAAGUGAUUAAAGGGACUGUGCGGCAGUCAUGGGGAUGCAAGCAGCUGUGGCCAUCAAACUGGUUCUAACAGACAGUAUGAGAUCUUCAUGAUUCUGGACCAUAAGGAUUCCAAAUAGGCUGUUCACUUAUGAGUAGGCCUGUAACACGGACGUGUGAGAAUAAACGCCAGAGAAAAAUUUUUGUGGCUGGUCUACUUGUGGGUACAAAGGCCCAGACCCAUUGUUUCAACUGGAGACCUGUGAAGGGCGAUCCCAGCCUCAGAACCUCGCAUGGGAUGGACUCAGUACUCUGCUGCAACUGCAUUUCAGUUUAACUUCUCCCUUUACCCAGUCCUAACUUCCUUAUUCCCUAAAAAAUGUUUCUGGGAGUGCUCCUCAGUAAACUUCAUGCAUAAACACUUCAGAGGCUCAGAGUAUGUUUCCUGGAGAAUUCCAUCUGUGGCGUUUCCUCUUCAUGCCUACUGCCACCAUCCAGGUUUAGGCCCCCAUUACCGCUUACCUGGAAUAUUGCAAAAGCUUUAUCACUAUUCUCUUUGCUCACUGGCUCUCCUAUAAUCAGUCUACACAACAGCAGACUAAUUUUUUUUAUCCCAGAUCAUAGCUCUUAUGCUGUUUUCCUGCUCAAAAACUUUGGUGGCCCCCCAGUCUAUUUAAUUAGGUUCUUACUCCUUAUUGUGAUUUUCAAGACCCUUCCCAAUUUAGCCCCCACUAUUUUCAGCUCUCAUCUUCUACUCCAGUAUAAGUAUGCUCCGCUCCAUUUAAACUAGAACAUUUGCAAUCCUCCAAAUCUACUGUAAAAAUUCAUUUUUCCUAUAUUUGUUCCAAAUGUUCUCUUCUAUUAUCUUCUUUAUAAAAUUUGAACCAUAUUUCAAGGUCCAUUCUCCUUUUUCUUUUUCAUUUUUUUUCUAGAUGGAGUCUCGCACUGUCGCCCAGGCUAGAGUGCAGUGGCGCGAUCUCGGCUUACUGCAACCUCCGCCUCCUGGGUUCAAGCGAUUCUCCUGCCUCAGCCUUCCGAGUAGCUGGGAUUACAGGUGCCCCCCACCACACCCAGCUAAUUUUUGUAUUUUUAGUAGAGACGGGAUUUCACUGUAUUGGCCAGGCUGGUCUCAAACUCCUAACCUUGUGAUCUACCCACCUCGGCCUCCCAAAGUGCUGGGAUUACAGGCGUGAGCCACUGCUCCUGGCCAGGCUUAAGGUCCAUUGUGAGAGCAAUAUUCAUUCUUGGCAUACCUGUAUCAAUGUAUCUUAUGUACCCCAUAAAUAUAUAUCCCUACUAUGUGACCAAAAAAAUUAAAAAUAAAAUAAAAAUUUAAAACCCAUACAUUCUCCAUGCAGAUUUUCCUCGUACCUCAACCCAAUGUCAUCUCUUCUUCAUUAGUUAUCCCAAUGCAGUUUGUACUUCUCCUUGGUAUCUAUUGAUUAUAUUUACUGUGUGUCAAUUUCACCAUUUUACCUCUCUUCCCUAUCCUUUCACCUGCACUGAUAGAAUGUAACUGUGAGAGCAAGAUUUUACCUCAAUCAUCUUUGUAUCACUUGAAACAAGAAGCAUCAUCCUUAAUCCUGGAGUUCAAUAAAUCAUUAAUAAAUUCAAUUGAAUACAAGCUGCCAAUUUGUUUGACAUUUUUGUGAAUGC